rnacentral:rRNA from 1 species
GAACCGGCGCACGGGUGCGUAACGCGUAUACAAUCUGCCUUUCACAUAGGGAUAGCCCGAAGAAAUUUGGAUUAAUACCUAAUGGUAUAUAAGAGCGGCAUCGUUUUUAUAUUAAAGCUACGGUGGUGAAAGAUGAGUAUGCGUUCUAUUAGCUAGUUGGAGAGGUAACGGCUCCCCAAGGCGACGAUAGAUAGGGGUUCUGAGAGGGAUGUCCCCCACACUGGUACUGAGAUACGGACCAGACUCCUACGGGAGGCAGCAGUGAGGAAUAUUGGACAAUGGUCGGAAGACUGAUCCAGCCAUGCCGCGUGCAGGAUGAAGGUCCUAUGGAUUGUAAACUGCUUUUGUAAGGGAAGAAUAAGGAGUACGUGUACUUUGAUGACGGUACCUUACGAAUAAGCAUCGGCUAACUCCGUGCCAGCAGCCGCGGUAAUACGGAGGAUGCGAGCGUUAUCCGGAAUCAUUGGGUUUAAAGGGUCCGUAGGCGGGCUGAUAAGUCAGAGGUGAAAGCGCUUAGCUCAACUAAGCAACUGCCUUUGAAACUGUCAGUCUUGAAUGAUUGUGAAGUAGUUGGAAUGUGUAGUGUAGCGGUGAAAUGCUUAGAUAUUACACAGAACACCGAUAGCGAAGGCAUAUUACUAACAAUUUAUUGACCCUGAUGGACGAAAACGUGGGGAGCG